rnacentral:rRNA from 1 species
UACGUAGGGUGCGAGCGUUAAUCGGAUUUACUGGGCGUAAAGGGGGCGUAGGUGGCCGUGUAAGUCCGGUGUGAAAAGCCACGGCUCAACCGUGGAACUGCGCUGGAAACUACACGGCUUGAGGACGGUAGAGGGAGACGGAACUGCUGGUGUAGGGGUGAAAUCCGUAGAUAUCAGCAGGAACGCCGGUGGGGAAGCCGGUCUCCUGGGCCGCUCCUGACGCUGAGGCCCGAAAGCUAGGGGAGCAAACCGG